GUCACUCUUGGCCCCUGUUCAGAGGACACGGCAUUCUUCCCACAGCCUGACUGGGGAAGAAUGGUGUUGGAACAAGCAAGAAGAGAAAAGGGAGGGGGCACCUGGGGCCCUGGGGGAGCAGCCCUUUUCCCAGGUCUUGCCCAGUAUCCCUAACUUGGACAGGAUCAGCGGGGGCGUGGAAGAAGAGGGGCUCUCAGGCAAGGCUGAUGGGCAAGCCUAUGCCCAGGCUGGGCCCUGGCUCUGCCAACCUGCAUGCCACAUCUUCUGGGUAUCCCUAGAACCUGGUUAGAGCCACACAGGCCCAGGAAUAAUCACCCUGCCCAAGUGCCUAGCUAUGUGCCCCUGGCAUCCGGACCUACUUGGAUCAUCUUUGGGAAAAUCCCUGAGUGACCUCUGAGUGGAAGGAUGAAGCUCUUGCUAGGACAUGGCCUGAAGGAUAAAGUACCUGAAUUUCUCUGUAAAAUCAUCUUGCAAUGUGAGACCGACCCCCGAGUCAUUGUCGCCACCACCAGAUGGACUUUGGACCUCCCAGCCUCAGAAACUGAUAAAAUUGGGAGAACAACAACAACAAACAGGACUGCCCAAUUGCUUUGUCUUCCAUCUCAACCCUAGUUCCUUCUUUUUCUGAUAGAAAAGAGAGGAACAGCAUGCUCUAAGAAAAAGCCAAUGUAUGUAAAAUGUUCUAGGGAAUGAUUAUUAGUAUAUAAGUGGAAUCCACAU